rnacentral:rRNA from 1 species
GCGAAUCGCCCUUGGGGCGCAGCAGGCGCGAAAACUUCACAAUGGGGGAAACCCCGAUGAGGGAAUUCCAAGUGUCAGCACAUUGUGUUGACUGUUCUCCCGUCUAAAAAACAGGAGAAGUAAGGGCCGGGUAAGACGGGUGCCAGCCGCCGCGGUAAUACCCGCGGCCCGAGUGGUGGUCGAUAUUAUUGAGCCUAAAACGUUCGUAGCCGGUCUUGUAAAUCCUUGGGUAAAUCGGCCAGCUUAACUGUCCGAAGUCCGGGGAGACUGCAAGACUUGGGAUCGGGAGAGGUCAGAGGUACUUCUGGGGUAGGGGUAAAAUCCUGUAAUCCUAGAAGGACCACCGGUGGCGAAGGCGUCUGACUAGAACGAAUUCGACGGUGAGGAACGAAGCCCUGGGGCGCAAACGGGAUUAGAUACCCCGGUAGUCCAGGGUGUAAACGCUGCGGGCUUGGUGUUGGGGGUCCUUAUUGGGCGCCCAGUGCCGGAGAGAAGUUGUUAAGCCUGCUGCUUGGGGAGUACGUCCGCAAGGAUGAAACUUAAAGGAAUUGGCGGGGGAGCAC